UGCGCGUCUGUCUUUGCAAGAAUUAGGUGCACUUGCUAUCAAGGCUAGCUCAGCACCAGCUCAGUCGGCUGACCCCGGAAGCCACACAUAAAAAACGCUGCCGUUUUUGCAUGGAAAUGGCAUGCGGGUUAGUAAAAUUCAGAUUGGUUUAGACUUCGUCGGUUUAGAUUUUCCGGCAAGGCAGAGAGCUGACAAAUUUACUAUUAAAAAUUAAAUUUUGGUGAAUUAUUGGCACGC
rnacentral:misc_RNA from 1 species